GACGAACGCUGGCGGCGCGCCUAACACAUGCAAGUCGAACGAGGUCUUUUAGAAAGCUUGCUUUCUGGCUGACCUAGUGGCGGACGGGUGAGUAACACGUGAGCAACCUGCCGAGGAGUGGGGGAUAACGUCUGGAAACGGACGCUAAUACCGCAUAACAUCAAGGGAUGGCAUCAUCUUUUGAUCAAAGGAGCAAUCCGCUUUUUGAUGGGCUCGCGCCCGAUUAGAUAGUUGGUGAGGUAAUGGCUCACCAAGUCAACGAUCGGUAGCCGGACUGAGAGGUUGAACGGCCACAUUGGGACUGAGACACGGCCCAGACUCUUGGUUACG
rnacentral:rRNA from 1 species